CAGUCACCUGUGAUUGUAUUCUUAGGCCAGGUGACCUUGACGUCACUGUUGGCAUAGAUAAUAGUGUGCUGGUGCAUGAUCAGUUCAGUUUUUUAUUUGGAGUUAACUCUGUUCGUCGGUUACUUGUCGAAGGAGGGAUCAUUUAUUUUCAUCUUCUGUUUUUCUUUUUUCUUUCCCGUUAUAUUCCAUACCCGUCUGAAAAUGCGAGAAUGUAUUUCCGUCCAUGUUGGUCAAGCUGGCUGCCAGAUUGGUAACGCUUGUUGGGAGCUAUACUGCUUGGAGCAUGGAAUUCAGCCUGAUGGUCAAAUGCCCAGCGAUAAGACAAUCGGUGGAGGGGAUGACUCCUUCAACACAUUCUUUAGCGAGACUGGAGCAGGAAAACAUGUUCCUCGCGCCGUCUUUGUUGAUUUGGAACCAACUGUUGUCGGUAAGUUAAUGUAGAACAGUCCUAUGUUUUAUUUUUCACAAAUUCUGCUUGCUAUCUAUGACAUCUGCCGUCGUAACUUGGACAUUGAGAGACCCACUUACACCAACCUGAACAGACUGAUUGCUCAGAUUGUGUCGUCCAUCACUGCAUCGCUCCGAUUUGAUGGUGCCUUGAAUGUUGACUUGACAGAGUUUCAGACCAACUUGGUACCAUACCCCCGAAUUCACUUCCCUCUGGCCACCUAUGCCCCAGUGAUCUCUGCAGAGAAAGCCUAUCACGAGCAGUUGACAGUCGCUGAGAUUACAAACAUGUGCUUUGAGCCAGCUAAUCAGAUGGUAAAAUGUGACCCACGUCACGGUAAAUACAUGGCCUGCUGUCUUUUAUUUCGUGGUGAUGUGGUGCCCAAGGAUGUGAAUGCAGCCAUUGCAACAAUCAAGACGAAGAGAACCAUUCAGUUUGUAGACUGGUGUCCCACUGGAUUCAAGGUUGGAAUUAAUUACCAGCCUCCCACAGUUGUUCCUGGCGGUGACCUGGCCAAAUUUCAACGUGCCGUGUGCAUGUUGAGUAACACCACAGCUAUUGCAGAGGCCUGGGCCCGUCUAGAUCACAAGUUUGAUCUGAUGUACGCCAAGCGUGCGUUUGUCCACUGGUAUGUGGGUGAGGGUAUGGAGGAAGGAGAGUUCUCUGAGGCUCGUGAGGAUUUGGCUGCAUUGGAGAAGGAUUAUGAAGAGGUUGGAGUAGAUUCGCUUGAUGAAGAAGGGGAAGAUGAUGGAGAAGAAUUCUGAAGAAUACUGAAAAGGAAUGUCAUAUGUGUCAUAUGUAUCUUGCGUUUAGAGUUGAACAUUAAAACUUUAUCCCAUGAAAUUUAA